UACGUAGGUGACAAGCGUUGUCCGGAUUUACUGGGCGUAAAGAGCGCGCAGGCGGUCGAUCAAGUCGAGUGUGAAAGCCCCCGGCUCAACUGGGGAGGGUCAUUCGAUACUGAUCGACUCGAAGGCAGGGGAGGGUAGUGGAAUUCCCGGUGUAGUGGUGAAAUGCGUAGAUAUCGGGAGGAACACCAGUGGCGAAGGCGACUACCUGGCCUGUUCUUGACGCUGAGGCGCGAAAGCUAGGGGAGCAAACGGG
rnacentral:rRNA from 1 species